GGUACAUCGGUGACAGGUGGUGCAUGGUUGUCGUCAGCUCGUGUCGUGAGAUGUUGGGUUAAGUCCCGCAACGAGCGCAACCCCUAUUGUAGUUGCCAUCAUUCAGUUGGGCACUCUAGCGAGACUGCCGGUAAUAAACCGGAGGAAGGUGGGAUGACGUCAAAUCAUCAUGCCCCUUAUGACCUGGGCUACACACGUGCUACAAUGGUUGGUACAACGAGUUGCGAGUCAGUGACGGCGAGCUAAUCUCUUAAAGCCAAUCUCAGUUCGGAUUGUAGGCUGCAACUCGCCUACAUGAAGUCGGAAUCGCUAGUAAUCGCGGAUCAGCACGCCGCGGUGAAUACGUUCCCGGGCCUU
rnacentral:rRNA from 1 species